AUGUACAUUCCUACAACUUUAAUGCAUUGGAUCACAUCAAAACUCUGCAGUUAAGUGUGCUUGGGAUAGACUAGUAUUGGGAUGGGUGACCUCCCAGGAAGUCCUAUAGUUUUACCUG
rnacentral:rRNA from 1 species